GUAAACCCAAGGUUUCCAGGGGAAGGUUCGUCCGCCCUGGGUUAGUCGGGACCUAAGCUGAGGCCGAAAGGCGUAGGCGAUGGACAACAGGUUGAUAUUCCUGUACUACCGAUAACCGUUUGAGAGAAGGGAUGACACAGUAGGAUAAGCUAAGCACACUGUUGGUUAUGUGUGCCCAAGCAUUGAGGCAGUCAAAGUAGGCAAA
rnacentral:rRNA from 1 species